AGUGUAGGCGGCUUCGUAAGUCGGAUGUGAAAGCCCCGGGCUUAACCAGGGAAUGGCAUUCGAUACUGCGCGGCUAGAGUCUGAUAGAGGGAAGUGGAAUUCCAGGUGUAGCGGUGAAAUGCGUAGAGAUCUGGAGGAACACCAGUGGCGAAGGCGGCUUCCUGGAUCAAGACUGACGCUGAGGCUCGAAAGCGUGGGGAGCAAACA
rnacentral:rRNA from 1 species